AUUCGGCUAUCCGGCCUUGCUAUGUUUGAUAGCGCUGACCUAUUUUACGCCAUUCGCAAAUAGGUCAGCACUAUCAAACGUAGCAAGGCCGGAGAGCCGGAUGUUC
rnacentral:pre_miRNA from 1 species